rnacentral:rRNA from 1 species
UACGGAGGGUGCGAGCGUUGUUCGGAAUCACUGGGCGUAAAGGGCGUAUAGGCGGUCUGUUAAGUCUGAUGUGAAAGCCCGGGGCUCACCCCCGGAAGUGCAUUGGAUACUGGCGGACUCGAGUCUCGGAGAGGAGGGUGGAAUUCCUGGUGUAGCGGUGAAAUGCGUAGAUAUCAGGAGGAACACCGGUGGCGAAGGCGGCCCUCUGGACGAUGACUGACGCUGAGACGCGAAAGCGUGGGGAGCAAACAGG